UUCGCUGCAGCUGGCCAAGAGACAUUUCAGCAGAGGCUUGGCCAAGAGACAUUUCAGCAGCAGGCUGGCCAAGAGACAUUUCAGCUGCAGGCUGGCCAAGAGACAUUUCAGCAGCAGGCUGGCCAAGAGACAUUUCAGCAGCAGGCUGGCCUACAUAGCCUAGAGACAUUUCAGCAGCAGGCAGAUGUUAUAGUUCAUAUAAUGAAAUCAUUCGGUUGAAUUCAAUGAAUUAGGAUUUUACAUGACUGGGAAUACAGAUAUGCAUCUUGUUGGUCACAGAUACCCUAAAGAAAAUGGGCCUUAGGAUCUCGUCACAGUAUUUCUGUGCAUUCAAAUUGCCAUCGAUUUAAAAAAAAAAAAACAAUUGUGUUCGUUGUCCAUAGCUUAUGCCUGCCAACCUCCACCGUGGUGCACUCUGUUCACAAUGUUGACAUCAGCAAACUGCUCGCCUUGGGUCUGCGGUUGUGAGGCUGGUUGGAUGUUCUGCCAAAUUCUUUAAAAAUAAGCUCUGGUGGACAUUCCUGCAGUCGGCAUGCCACGCACCCUCAACUUGAGACAUCUGUGGCAUUGUUGUGUGACAACUGGACAUAGGGGCCUUUUAUUGCCCCCAGCACAAGGUGCACCUGUGUAAUGAUAAUGCUGUUUAAUCAGCUUCUUGAUAUGCCACACCUGACAGGUGGAUGGAUUAUAUUGGAAUAGAAGCCUUUCCUAAUCAUAUCCAAUCAAUCUAAUUUACCUCAGGUGGACUCCAUGUUGUAGAAACAUCAAGGGUGAUCAAUGGAAACAGGAUAUACCUGAGCUCAAUUUCGAGUCUUAUAGUAAAGGGUCUGAAUACUUAUGUAAAUGUGAUAUUUCUGUUUUUAUUUAUACAUUUGUAGAAUGAGGCUGUAACGGAACAAAAUGUGGAUAAAGUCCAGGGGUAUGAAUACUUUUUGAAAUGCCCUGUAAGUGGUUUGCUUUUUCCAAAAUUAAGCAUUCGCUUGGUAACAGCUGAGAAUCCUCCUGGUUAUGAUUCAUUUGCUGCAGCAAACUGUGACUAGUCUUUUUUGAGUUACUUGUAUACAUACAGUACCAGUCAAACAUUUGGACAGACCUACUCAUUCAAGGGUUUUUCUUUCUUUUUACUAUUUUCUACAUUGUAGAAUAAUAGUGAAGACAUCAAAACUAUGAAAUAACACAUAUGGAAUCAUGUUGUAACCAAAAAAGUAUUCAACAAAUAAAAAUAUAUUUUAUAUUUGAGAUUCUUCAAAAUAGCCACCCUUUGCCUUGAUGAAGCUGGUUGAAAGAACGCCUUGAUGAAGCUGGUUGAGAGAACGCCUCGAUGAAGCUGGUUGAGAGAAUGCCUCGGUGAAGCUGGUUGAGAGAAUGCCUCGGUGAAGCUGGUUGAGAGAAUGCCUCGGUGAAGCUGGUUGAGAGA
rnacentral:lncRNA from 1 species